CAAAGUACAAAUUAAUUUAUAUAGUCUUCCUAUAUCCAAAUACUCAUUUGCAUUUCUUUAUCUGCUCAGUUAAGUAGUUUUACAUAUUGUUCUAGUAAUUUUGCUAACCUGACACAAGAGUUCCUGGUUUGCAAUUCAAAACGCGACAUGAAUUAGAAAAAUCACAUAAAGGGACAACAAUAAAAGCUAAAAAGCAUUGUAGACCCGUUGUAGCAUAUACGAAUUAUUGCAGUUGGAGCUUCAACCGGACAAAUGGGCAAGCAACGAGGCGUCAAGACCCCGCAAAGACAUGCAAAAUAUGCCAACUACAUGUACAUAUAUAAAGUGGCAUAUAAAUAAAAAAGAAUUGAAACAUUUCUAUGCGUCACGCGGCAUUUGCGACAGUUAGUCGAACGACCGAACGGCCUAUCUCCAUCCCUGGCCAGUCUGUGCAGCAUUUGCCAUUCAGUCGCUGUCGUCACUUGAGAGUGAAAUGAAUGCGGGUUGAAAAAUAACGGCAUUACACCCAGCGAAAGACAGACUAAAACAAAAAAAGAAUUAAAAUUGGCAAGAGUUGCCAAUGAAUUUUGCAAUAGGGCAAUGUCAAUGCACUUUCGUCGUAUUCUAAAAUAGACAGGCGGUCAGCGGGUAGAGAGUCGCGGAUCGCGGCUCGCGGUUCGCGGAUGAGUACAAUGGGUAGCGGGAAAUGGAUGGAGGCAGAGAUGCAGAUAGAGAUUGUACUCAAUCUGCUAUUCUGCUUGAAGGAGGAGCACUUAAAAACUGAAUGGGAAAUUGUUUGGAAAUGCUUUUUAAGCAAAUUGCAAAACAAUUAGCUGGAAGUCAAACGAUUCGAGAGAAGUUCUUAAACCUUAACCCUCUUUCAAAAUUAUUUAACACAAAACCAUUAGGCCAUGU